rnacentral:rRNA from 1 species
GACGAGCCUCACAAACGUUAUUCGGAAUUACUGGGCUUAAAGGGUGCGUAGGCGGCGCGGAAAGUUGGGUGUGAAAUCCCUCGGCUCAACCGAGGAACAGCGCUCAAAACUACCGUGCUCGAGGGAGAUAGAGGAAUGCGGAACUUACGGUGGAGCGGUGAAAUGCGUUGAUAUCGUAGGGAACACCGGUGGCGAAAGCGGCAUUCUGGAUCUCUUCUGACGCUGAUGCACGAAAGCUAGGGUAGCAAACGGG